rnacentral:lncRNA from 1 species
CACACGCCAGGUAGGGGCUGAGCCCAGGCGCAGGCCCGCCUGCUUGCUGCCCCUGCCCACAUUUGGGUGGGAGGGCCGCCCUGGGCCCACCAGGCCUACACUGCACUGCUCCCAGCACCUCACUUGCCUGCACAGCCACACCUGGGUGUUUGUUCAAAACAGCCCCCUGUUUUCCUGAGGAGACCCCCAGCUAGGUGUCCAGGGGAGUGGGAUGGCAGGCAGAGCUGGGUGCCCUGGGCUGCCGAGACCUGGCAGGUUGUGAGUGAGCAUGUCCUCGGCCAGAGGUGCUGGGCGCAGUGGACUGUGGUUCCUGGGGUGGACGCAGGGGCCGUGGCUCCUGGGGGUGGAUGCAGGGGCCGUGGCUCCUGGAAGCGUCUCACUGCGCCUCUUGGUUUGCUGUCAGGGCCCCCCUCGCCCACAAUGAAAGGCUCCCGGGCCACCAGCGGCCCCCCCGGCCCCCCGGAGGGCAGCCCGGAAGGCGUGGACCUGAGCCUGACAGGCCUGCCUCCGCCCGUGUCCCGGCGCCCCCGCAGUGCCUCUGCUGCCAGGCCCGUGGCGCGCCCCGUCUCCGUGGUCGCAGGCAGUGAGCUGAGGAGGAGAGCGCCGGGGCCCCUGCCUGCGCCGGCUCCUGGGGCAGCAGGGAGCUCUUCCCGUGAAGCCACCGUCCUGCCUGCAUUAGACCCAAAGCCGGCUGUGCUGCGAGUUGCAGGGAGGUGA